CGAUUUCUCUCCUCUUUUGGACUCAAGAUCAAUGCUUCCCGGCCGGCGCAGAUCACACAGCAGGACCCCAGGGGAGACUGUGGCCUUCUUCCCGCCUCCCAAUUCCCCAAGACCGCCUCUAGAGGCUGCUGUGUCCGGAGAACUCCGAGCAUUUUCUGGACACAGAUUGCCUAACAGAGGAACAGGGGUUAGGUGGGGAGCGGCUGGCCGGCCCAAACACAGCAGCCCCAAGCUGGCUCCCAAGCCUGGGCUCUCCACCCCCGCUCCCAUCCUCUCUUGAGCACAGUUAGGCCCAACACCCCUGUCCCCCAAAACACCUCCUACCCUCCCUCCCCCCCAGCCCCCAUCUUCAGGAACAUCACAGGGCUCACACUCACUAACCGCGGAGAGCACAUGCAGGCCGGAGCCCUCAGCCCGGCAGCUCUCGGACCCUGCCCAGCUCGACGCGGACUCAUGCAGAAGAGGACAUUCCGCAGAAAGAAUUCUGAAUAUACAAAGAUUCUGGAUUGGGUGCACCGGAAGAUGAAGCCAGAAGUUGUUUCAGCCUUGAAGCUGGUAAUCCUCUCUGGGAAGAACGGGGAUGUUUUCAAUGGACUGGAAGGUUGAGUGCUGCUAGGUCAGGCUCAGGCUCUAAGAGUGGCCUCUACCCAAGAACGUGCUGCUGUUGGGGAUGCUGCCCUCACACUGCAGAAGGUGACACCCAGAUACCCCCUUGCCAGGAUCCCUGCAGCCAGAUCCUUCUCCUGAUGCCACCAGGACUGGAUGGGUCCUCAGUCCUGAACUGAACUGUGGGUGAGUGGGUAGAGAUGGGGAAGAUGUGAGACACCUCGUCUUCCUCUUGCUACACACAUCUUAUUGGCUGCAAGUGUGAAAUGGCUUUUGAUACAUUUAUUUGUUCGUUUGUUUGCUUUUUGGAGACAGGGUCUUUCAGUGUUGUCCAGGCUUGGAGUGCAUUGGCAAUUAUAGCUCAUUGCAACCUUGAACUCCUGGGCUCAAAUGAUCCUCCAGCCUCAGUCUCCCAAGUAGCGGGAACUAAAUGUGCAUGCCAGCGCACUGGGCUAAUUGUUUUAUUUUUUUGUAGAGAUGGGGUCUUGCUUUGUUGACCAGGCUGGUCUCGAACUCCUGAGCUCAAAUGAUCCUCCUGCCUCAGCCUCCCAAGGCGAGAUUACAGACAUGAGCCACCACACCCAGCCAGGUGUGAGUCUUUUCCUGCUAGCUGCCUUGGAACCCAAUAGGUCUGGUAGAAGAUGCAGCUUUUGUGUGUGGUGUCUGUUUUGGCUGGGCUCAUAUAAAACCUUCCUUACUAUGUGACCCAGCAAUCCCAUUACUGGGUAUAUAACCAAAGGAAUAUAAAUCAUUCUAUUAUAAAGAUACAUGCACACGUAUGCUUAUUGCAGCACUAUUCACAAUAGCAAAGACAUGGAAUCAACCCAAAUAGCCACCAAUGAUAGACUGGAUAAAGAAAAUGUGGUACAUAUACACCAUGGAAUACUAUGCAGCCAUAAAGAGGAAUGAGAUCAUGUCUCUUCGAGGGUCAUGGAUGAAGCUGGAAGCCAUCAUCCUCAGCAAGCUAACACAGGAUCAGAAAACCAAAUGCUGCAUGUUCUCACUCAUAAGUGGGAGCUGAACAAUGAAAACACAUGGACGGGGGAGAGGAACAACACAUACUGGGGCUUGUUGGGGGUGGGAGGAGGGAGAGCAUAAGGAUAAAUAGCUAAUGCAUGCAGGGCUUAAUACCUAGGUGAUGGGUUGACAGGUGCAGCAAACCACCAUGGAACACGUUUACCUAUGUAACAAACCUGCACAUUCUGCACAUGUAUCCCAGUACUUAAAAUAAAAUAAAACUUAAAAAAACCCUUCCCUUGCUUUCUGGCAUGUGUAUUAUCCUUCCCUGUACCUCCAUCAUCG
rnacentral:lncRNA from 10 species